rnacentral:lncRNA from 1 species
CGGCCAUUGUUUCACCGGAAUCUUCUUUUUUUCCCGGUGAAAGUUUGAACGCACACCGUUAUUUCUAGCUAGAAGUACUAGACAGUAGACAAUGUCAUGUGAAAAACAUCACAAGUUUUUGAAGAUUUGUAAUUAAUUAGUUGAGAUUUUUAAUUUGGAGGAAAGAGAAAAACAGAGAAGAUGAUAGGGCGGGUGGACUUGUUGUUGGUAUUGUUGAUAGCAACGACGGCGACUAUUGGGGCUGAAAC